UUUAUAAGUAAGUUUUGUGAUGCCAACUCCGAACUGAAACAUACCUUAUCAGUUGUCUCACUACAACCAAUUCCUCACCACAUAGGGCGUGUAAGAAUGCCUCACCAUCAUCCACCAGGACAACCACCGCCUCCUGAUCCUUUUGCUCCUCCACCACCAGGACCACCUCCUCCUGAUCCUUUUGCUCCUCCACCACCAGGUCCGCCACCACCAAGACCACCGCCUCCUGAUCCUUUUGCUCCUCCACCACCACCGGGACCUCGUUCUCCACCUCCACCAGGGCCUCCUCCACAGCCAGGGCCACAUGGUCCUCCCCCGCCACCUUAAUAUCAUCUCACAGGCUCACCUCAAACAGUAUACUAGUUACAGUAUUAUUAGCAUUAUGUAUAAGAAAUAAAGUGCAUGUGUCCAUGUAAGCUUCACGAAUUAUCUAUAUGUACACACAGUAGGAUUAAUGCCUACCUUAUUUAAUUAAUUUAAAGGGUUAAUUGCA
rnacentral:lncRNA from 1 species